rnacentral:lncRNA from 1 species
GAAAGAACUCUGCCAGGGCUCUCCGCUCUCUUCGGAAGGUGGAGGAUCUUUCUCCUGUGGCUUCCAUGGACUCCCAGGGCGUAGAACAGGCAGAUCCUCAGAUCCCUGUUUGUGAUAGAAUCUUGAGACCCUGCAGAAUAUUCACAGAUGAAACGAACGGUGGCAUAGAGCACACCCCUUCCCCUUUGUGGAGAAGUGUGCACCACCCUGCCCUCAGAAACCUUCGAGAAUUAAAUGAGAGGCCUCACAAUCAUGGAGGAAGAGCAAGGGACAUCUUACGUGGCAGAAGGCAAGAAGAGAAUGAGAACCAAGCGAAAGGGGGUUCCCCUUAUGAAACCAUCAGAUCUCUUGAGAAGUCACCACCUCAGGAAUAGUGUGGGGAAACUGCCUCCAUGAUUCAAUUAUUUUCUGCUGGGUCCCUCUCAGAACACGUGGGAAUUAUGGAAGCUACAACUCCAGGUGAGAUUUGGGUGGGGACACAGACAAACCAUAUCAAACAGUAAUUUUUAAAGUGACUGAACUAUAAUUUUUUUCCUUUUUUUGUGAGAUAGAGUUUCACUCUUGUUGCCUAGGCUGGAGUGCAAUGGCAUGAUUUUGGCUCACCACAACCUCCACCUCCCGGGUUCAAGCGACUGAGCCUCCACCUCCUGCCUCAACCUCCUGAGUAGCUGGGAUUAGAGGCAUGUGCCAUCAGGCCCAGCUAAUUUUGUAUUUUUAGUAGAGACAGAGUUUCUCCAUGUUGGUCAGGCUGGUCUCAAACUCCCGACCUCAGGUGAUCCGCCUGUCUCAGCCUUCCAAAGUGCUGGGAUUACAGGCAUGAACCACUGUGCCUGGCUUGAACUAUAAUAUUUUAUUUCUUUAUCCAUAUAUCAAUGUGCACUUAAAUUUGUUUCACCUAUGCUCUUAGACAAGACGUGACUCAAAGCUCUCAUACUCUUCAAGCAUUCUGGUCAUUGGUAGACUUUAUAAUGACAGAGUAGACGUGAUAAUGAACAUUUAAACUUAACCAGUCCCUGGAUCCUUUUGUGCUCAGUAUUGAGUUACAGGACUUGUUCUCAUGAAAAAGUCACUCCUUAAGAAAAAUCACCUGUCCUGCCCCCUGUGAUUCCUCUCCCUUAACCACCAAGCUCUUCAGAGAAAUGGGC